CAAUAGCGUAUAUUAAAGUUGUUGCAGUUAAAAAGCUCGUAGUUGAAUUUUUGCUUGCCGCCGAUGUCGGAACUUCCGUACGUUCGGCGGCGUGCAUCCUUGGGUGGAACCUGUGUGGCAUUAGGUUGUCGUGCAGGGGAUGCUCAUCGUUUACUGUGAAAAAAUUAGAGUGUUUAAAGCAGGCGUUUGCCCAUUUGAAUACAUUAGCAUGGAAUAAUAAGAUAUGACUUUGGUGGUCUAUUUUGUUGGUUUGCACACCAGAGUAAUGAUUAAUAGGGACAGUUGGGGGUAUUCAUAUUUCAACGUCAGAGGUGAAAUUCUUAGAUCGUUGAAAGAUGAGCUUAGGCGAAANCANNNACCAUGGAUGUUUUCAUNAA
rnacentral:rRNA from 1 species